GCCUACGGGGCGCAGCAGUCGCGAAAACUUUGCAAUACACGAAAGUGUGACAGGGUUAUCCCGAGUGCCGACCGCUGAGGUUGGCUUUUACCCAGUCUAGAAAGCUGGGGGAAUAAGGAGAGGGCAAGUCUGGUGUCAGCCGCCGCGGUAAUACCAGCUCUCCGAGUGGUGUGGACGUUUAUUGGGCCUAAAGCAUCCGUAGCUGGCUGGACAAGUCCCCUGUUAAACCCACCGAUUUAAUCGUUGGCGUGCGGGGGAUACUGCUCGGCUAGGGGACGAGAGAGGCAGACGGUAUUCCCGGGGUAGGGGUGAAAUCCUAUAAUCCCGAGAAGACCACCAGUGGCGAAGGCUGUCUGCUAGAACGCGCCCGACGGUGAGGGAUGAAAGCUGGGGGAGCGAACCGGAUUAGAUACCCUAGUAA
rnacentral:rRNA from 1 species